GGCGGCGUAGCUCAGGGGCAGAGCAAGCGGCUCAUAAUCGCUGAGUCGGUGGUUCGAGUCCACCCGCCGCUACCA
rnacentral:tRNA from 1 species